GGGUUGGGGCUCCACUCCACCAACACUCCAGACCGUCCUCUCUCACUCCACCAACACUCCAGACGGCCUCUCUCACUCCAGACGUCCUCUCUCCUCACUCCACCAACACUCCAGACCGUCCUCCUCUCUCGCCUCCACCAACACUCCAGACCGUCCUCUCUCACCUCCAGACCGGCCUCUCUCUCACCCACCAACUCCAGACCGUCCUCUCUCACUCCACCAACACUCCAGACCGUCCUCUCUCACUCACCAAACACUCCAGACCGUCCUCUCUCACUCCACCAACACUCCAGACCGUCCCUCUCCCACAAUCCAGACCGUCCUCUCUCACUCCACCAACACUCCAGACCGUCCCUCUCACUCCACCAACACUCCAGAGACCCGCCUCCCAUCACUUCUCUCCCCAACACUCCAGACCGUCCUCUCUCACUCCACCAACACUCCAGACCGUCCUCUCUCACUCCACCAACACUCCAGACCGUCCUCUCUCCACUCCACCAACACUCAGACCGUCCUCUCUCACCCACCAACACUCCAGACCGUCCUCUCUCACUCCACCCAACAACACUCCAGGCCGUCCUCUCUCACUCCACCAACACUCCAGCCGUCCUCUCUCACUCCACCAACACUCCAGACCGUCCUCUCUCUCACUCCACCAACCACUCCAGACCGUCCUCUCUCACUCCACCAACACUCCAGGCCGUCCUCUCUCACUCCACCAACAUCCAACCGUCUCUCUCACUCCACCACAAUCCAGACCGCCUCUCUCACUCCACCAACACCCAGACCGUCCUCCUCACUCCACCAACACUCCAGGCCGUCCUCUCUCCUUCACUCCACCCAACACUCCAGACCGUCCUCUCUCACUCCACCAACACUCCAGACCGUCCUCUCUCUCACUCCACCAACAUCCAGGCCGUCCUCUCUCCACUCCACCACACUACAGACCGUCCUCUCUCACUCCACCAACACCCGACCGUCCCUCUCUCCACCACCAACACUCCAGACCGUCCUCUCUCACUCCACCCAACACCCCAGACCGUCCUCUCUCCUCCACCAACACCAGACGCCUCUCUCACUCCACCAACACUCCAGACCGACCGUCCUCUCUACUCCCCAACACUCCAGACCGUCCUCUCUCACUCCACCAACACCCAGACCGUCCUCCUCACUCCACCAACACUCCAGACCGUCCUCUCUCACUCCACCAACACUCCAGACCGCCUCUCCACUCCACCAACAGCCAACCGUCCUCCUCACUCCACCAACACUCCAGACCGUCCUCUCUCACUCCACCAACACUCCAGACCCGUCCUCUCCUCCUCCACCAACACUCCAGACCCGUCCUCUCACCCACCAACACUCCGACCGUCCUCUCUCACUCCACCAACACUCCAGACCGUCCUCUCUCACUCCACCAACACUCCAGACCGUCCUCUCUCACUCCACCAACACUCCAGGCCGUCCUCUCUCACUCCACCAACACUCCAGACCGUCCUCUCACUCCACCAACACUCCAUGACCUCCUCUCCACUCCAUUGUAACCUUGUGCGUUUCAGGUCCUCUUUGAGUGGCUGGUCAGUAGGGUCUCAAGGACAUACCUGCGUUGUUUGA
rnacentral:lncRNA from 1 species